rnacentral:rRNA from 1 species
UAAGGAAUAUUGCUCAAUGGGAGAAAUCCUGAAGCAGCAACGCCGCGUGGAGGAUGAAGGGUCUAUGACUUGUAAACUCCUGUAAAGAAGGAAAAAUUCCCAUUUGAUGGGAGAUGAUGGUACUUCUGGAGUAAGCCCCGGCUAACUACGUGCCAGCAGCCGCGGUAAUACGUAGGGGGCAAGCGUUGUCCGGAUUUACUGGGUGUAAAGGGUGCUCAGGCGGAUUUGUAAGUCAGAGGUGAAAUCUUACAGCUUAACUGUGAAACUGCCUUUGAUACUGCAAGCCUAGAGUAUGGAAGAGAGUGAUGGAAUAUCUGGUGUAGCAGUGAAAUGCGUAGAUAUCAGAUAGAACACCAAUGGCGAAGGCAGUCACUUGGUCCAUUACUGACGCUAAAGCACGAAAGCGUGGGUAGCAAACA